GGAGCUGACGCGAGUAAAGACGUCUCAAAGAUACGCCCUUGUCUCCCGGGUUUCAUGUUGAACAAUUGGACUGCCGAGGAUCUUCUUAUAGUUUAUAAGUCUUCAGAGUAAUGCUCAAACGUUAACAUUCUGUUAUGUCCUUAGAUAUAAUAGAAUUCUUUUGUAAGAGUUUGCAUUCGCUCUUUAUCAUUUAAAUGAAUAU
rnacentral:lncRNA from 1 species